GCUCCAAUUGUGGACAGCAAUAAUAUUAUAAGAGUAGGAGGUAGGAUUCAAAGUAGUAAUCUUUCAGAGGAUGCUAAGCACCCUAUACUUCUCCCUUAUGAAGAUGAAAUUGUUCGUUUGUUAGUAAAUCAUAUACAUGUUAAACAUCUACACAUUGGACCACAGGGUUUACUAGCAAUAACCAGGCAAAAGUUUUGGAUUUUAAGAGUAGGAAUGGACUUCCUAGGUCCAAUUUGGAUACAUCAUAAAAUACGUGGAAAAAAGGCUGAUAAAGCUUAUGUCUGUGUCUUCGUGUGCUUUUCCACGAAGGCAGUACACUUAGAAGUAGUUUCAGAUCUUUCUUCAGCAGCUUUUAUAGGUGCCCUAAAAAGAUUUAUUUCUAGGAGAAGUUGCCCCCAUAAAAUCUAUUCAGAUAACGGGACCAAUUUUAUUGGAGCAGCCAAUAGUCUUCGCGAAGUUUUUAAGUUAUUUCAGAAAGACUCACAUAAAACAGAAUUAUCAAAAUUUUGUAAUCAAAGAGAAAUAACCUGGAUAAACAUACCAGCAAGAUCUCCACAUGUAGGAGGAAAUCAGUUAAAAAACAUUUUUUCCGAGUAGUUGAAGGUAUAAUGUCUUUUGAAGAAAUGUCCACACUCAUGACACAAAUAGAAGCCGUACUAAAUUCAAGACCUAUUACCCCAUUAUCAAACAAUCCUAAUGAUCUCCAGGUAUUAACACCAGGCCAUUUUUUGGUAGGAGAACCAUUAUCAACUAUCGUUGACUCGAACUACAACCAAAGUUACCAAGGGUUAAAGGACCAUUGGAAAUCGGUCGAAAAGAAUUCAAAAGAAUUCUGGAAGCGAUGGUCCAAUGAAUAUUUAAAUGAACUGCAAAAAAGAAAUAAAUGGCAAGUUCCUUUUGAAAACAUCAAAACUGGUACCUUGGUACUUCUUAAA